AUCCUACGGGAGGCAGCAGUGGGGAAUAUUGCACAAUGGGCGCAAGCCUGAUGCAGCCAUGCCGCGUGUAUGAAGAAGGCCUUCGGGUUGUAAAGUACUUUCAGCAGUGAGGAAGGUGGGUAUGUUAAUAGCAUACUCAUUUGACGUUAGCUGCAGAAGAAGCACCGGCUAACUCCGUGCCAGCAGCCGCGGUAAUACGGAGGGUGCGAGCGUUAAUCGGAAUUACUGGGCGUAAAGCGCAUGCAGGUGGUUUGUUAAGUCAGAUGUGAAAGCCCGGGGCUCAACCUCGGAAUUGCAUUUGAAACUGGCAAACUAGAGUACUGUAGAGGGGGUAGAAUUUCAGGUGUAGCGGUGAAAAUGCGUAGAGAUCUGAAGGAAUACCGGUGGCGAAGGCGGCCCCCUGGACAGAUACUGACACUCAGAUGCGAAAGCGUGGGGAGCAAACAGGAUUAGAUACCCUGGUAG
rnacentral:rRNA from 1 species